UACGUAGGGCGCAAGCGUUAUCCGGAAUUAUUGGGCGUAAAGAGCUCGUAGGCGGUUUGUCGCGUCGGCUGUGAAAACCUGAGGCUCAACCUCGGGCCUGCAGUCGAUACGGGCAAACUAGAGUUCGGUAGGGGAGACUGGAAUUCCUGGUGUAGCGGUGGAAUGCGCAGAUAUCAGGAGGAACACCGAUGGCGAAGGCAGGUCUCUGGGCCGAAACUGACGCUGAGGAGCGAAAGCGUGGGGAGCGAACAGG
rnacentral:rRNA from 1 species